rnacentral:snoRNA from 1 species
CCUCCGGUUCUUGGCAGGCCCGGCUCGCCGUGCCCGGCUCUGUAUGGGCGGAGGAAGAGCAGCAACCGGAGCGGCGUCUUCGGUACCCGCGGCCCAUCCGCGGGGUUCUGCCCUCCCGCGCCGGGACACGC